rnacentral:lncRNA from 1 species
GUCAGGCAUAUUGUGGUUGGUUGAGUGGAUAAGUUUGAAAUCAAAUGAAAUUUGAUUUAUCCUAGCUGCCCCCCUUAUCCUUGGUGCCACUUGGACUAAGAGUCUAAGUGGUUAUGGGGUCUCAUUAAUCUCCCGUGCCUUAUUAUUCUCCAUGCCAAAUAUGGUUUGGCACAAUCUAUGUUGGCCAUUGGGCAACCAUCAGAUAGAAUUCUAUCUGUUGGAUAGAGUGGGCACCCC